UCUAAUAAUAAAACUAUUAUCACUACAGCUUCAAUGUAGAGCUUUACUUA
rnacentral:tRNA from 1 species